AGGCCCCAAAGAGUCUGAUGUUUACAAGACCAGAAAUGCCACGGCCGCGUCCUGGCAGAGAAAAGGCUGAAAUGGAGGACCGGCGCCUUCCUUAUAAGUAUGCACAUUGGCGAGAGAAGUGCUGCAACCUAAACCAGCAAUUACACCCAAGCUCGUUGGGGCCUAAGCCAGUACCGACCUGGUAGAAAAAGCAACCACGAAGCUAGAGAGAGAGCCAGAGGAGGGAAGAGAGCGCCAGACGAAGGUGAAAGCGAACCACGCAGAGAAAUGCAGGCAAGGGAGCAAGGCGGCAGUUCCCGGAACAAACGUGGCAGAGGGCAAGACGGGCACUCACAGACAGAGGUUUAUGUAUUUUUAUUUUUUAAAAUCUGAUUUGGUGUUCCAUGAGGAAAAGGGAAAAUCUAGGGAACGGGAGUACAGAGAGAAUAAUCCGGGUCCUAGCUCGCCACAUGAACGCCCAGAGAACGCUGGAAAAACCUGAGCGGGUGCCGGGGCAGCACCCGGCUCGGGUCAGCCACUGCCCCACACCGGGCCCACCAAGCCCCGCCCCUCGCGGCCACCGGGGCUUCCUUGCUCUUCUUAUCAUCUCCAUCUUUAUGAUGAGGCUUGUUAACAAGACCAGAGAGCUGGCCAAGCACCUCUAUCUCAGCCGCGCCCGCUCAGCCGAGCAGCGGUCGGUGGGGGGACUGGGAGGCGCUAAUUAAUUGAUUCCUUUGGACUGUAAAAUAUGGCGGCGUCUACACGGAACCCAUGGACUCAUAAACAAUAUAUCUGUUGGGCG
rnacentral:lncRNA from 1 species